rnacentral:rRNA from 1 species
AGCGAGAUUGACUUCCUGGCGUUAUGCGAUGAUGUCGAGAUUUCUCGAUUUCUCGAUUCACGUUAACGCUUGUGGUAUGCGUUCGAUCGUGUCGGCGUGCACUUCUCCUCUAGUAGAACGUCGCGACCCGCUGGGUGUCGAUUUAAGGGACCGAGAUCGUUGACUGUACCGUCGCUUCGGCGUUACGUGUGCAGACGCUUGGUUUUCCCCGACCGACUGCUCGGCGGUAAACGUACAAGGUAUCGAGCCGCACUUGAAUGCGUUCAGACUCGUUGCAAGCUUCAUCAUUGUUUAUCUUGGAUGUGCGGACCUGGUGCCGUACCCGAGAAUGAUUGGGCUGUUGGUUAACGAUGUUCUCGAACCGGCUUACACUUGCUGUAACAGCGAUACCGGUCGGCGACGCUAUUGCUUUGGGUACUUUCAGGACCCGUCUUGAAACACGGACCAAGGAGUCUAACAUGUGCGCGAGUCAUUGGGAUUAUUAAAACCUAAAGGCGCAUUGAAAGAGAAGAUCGACCUUGCGUUGAUUGAGGGAGGAUGAGCUAACGUCGUCGUUGUUUUGCGACGCGACGAUGUUGCUCCGCACUCCCGGGGCGUCUCGUGGUCAUUACGACCUGAGGCGCACCCAGAGCGUACACGUUGGGACCCGAAAGAUGGUGAACUAUGCCUGGUCAGGAUGAAGUCAGGGGAAACCCUGAUGGAGGUCCGUAGCGAU